AUGCACCAAGCGCUCGCGUGCAGGCGGCCCCGCAGCACCCCGCUGCUCCGGGGGGGGGCUCGGUGGCCCCAACCGGGCUGUCCUCAGUGCUGGGGUUCAAUCCUGCGCCACCCCGAGCCUCUCCUGGAGGCGGGAGUGGUGAAAUGGAGGAUGCUGCGGGUGAUGCUCCUGGGUUUUGGGGUACGUCUCCCCGCACGGGGUCCUCUCCUGGGGUCCCCUUGGUCAGGGGAUGACGGGACAUCCCCAGCCGUGCCUCCUCCCAGCUCCCCUCCCUCUCCAUCCCUUCCUCCCCUGCAAUUUUCCGGCCUCCUCCAAGCAACGAGGACACAAAACAGCAGCCGGGACCUCGCCCUCGUGCUGUCAGCAAAUAACCGCGGCUCCCUGGGGCUGCCCGCGUGCGCUCUCGGCUCGGCCCACUUCCAUUUUACUCCUCGCCGGGCUUUUACGGGAAAAUCCUGCCCGGCUUCGAUCCGGCCUUGCCCUGCUCGGCCGCGUCCCGGGAGCCUUGGAUGCGGCCCCAGCUCGGCGGCGGGGAGGAGGCUUCAAAGCCCAGGAGCUGCUGGGGAAGGUGGAGGGGAAAGCGGCUUCAGAGCCGUGCGGCGGCGGGCGGAGAGGCUGCAAAGUCAUUUUUUGGGGGAGGAAUAUCGGGGAGGAGAAGGUGGAAUCGGGCCCAGAUGCGGGGUGAUAGCGCUGGGAUGGAUGCAGCAGGGAUCUGGGGAUGCUCCAGGUCCCUUGGCCACUAAGCACAGCGUUCCCUGGCCCUCGACAUCCCUGAGCAUCCCUGCCAGGGUGGGGAUGGCGGGUGCUGGAUGUGACCCAGGGCUAAAAAAACCCUCCAAGUGCAUCGGGCUGAAAGCAUCCCGCGGGAGGAGGAGGCUGCUUUUCGGCUCCUGGCCUGGAGGGAAGCCAGGGCACAGGCGUUACAGCCGGGACGAAACCCUUCCCCGCAGAGGAGGGGACGAAGUGGCACGGUGGCGAUGCGCCGCGGGGCUUCCCUGGAAAAUCGCGCUCCCGGGCGGGAUAAAGCAAUGGUUAAUUCGGGGCUUUUAUCCGCAAACGCUUGCAGGCUAA
rnacentral:lncRNA from 1 species